rnacentral:lncRNA from 1 species
UGAGUCCUUUUUUUUUUUUUCCUGACGGAAUUACAUGCAGAUUGGCAUGUUACAUAACCUGGUAUUUCCAGAUCAAACGUUACAAAUAUGGGAGAGAAGGAGAUUAAAAAUUGGAGAUGUUGGGCAACACCAGCAAGGGAUUCGCUCGGAGAUGCCUACCCACUCUCCUUAAAUGUUAGAGACUGAAGGAAAAAGAGACCUACCAAGCACAAGGUAUAACUCUCUGCCUGGUACCCUCAGAUGCCUGUCUGGUUUUGAGGAAUGGCUACUCUGCCUGGACCCCCAUCAUGCUGCUGUUCUGGUCCUAAUACAUUCACCCACAUUCAUAAAUGUAAAAACGGAAACAUGAGAACCAUGGGAUUCAGAUCAUCUCCUUGCAGAUUUGAUUCCAACAGCCUAGCAGGGUCAAUCAACAUCAAUUCUAGAUCUAAAGGUCCCAUCUUUACCUGCCUUCUUACCUGGUCUGUCAGCCUGGCUUAUUGCUACGUGAAAUCUUCGCUUUGCACUGAAAGACUGCUAUGGGGGCCACUUUGCAAGUAACACAUGCCCCAAUUCCCAGGAAACCAGGCUUACAUGGAUCCCUGAAUUUAUAGUUUUCUAUAAGGAAGGCUUCUAAUGAAACCAUAAAAGUAGAUGCGUAGUCCUCUGUGGGUUAUAUAUUUAUUACUUUGUUACAGGUUUUUUUUUCCCUUUUAUUAUCUUUAUUCCAGUUAUUACCAAAGUAAUAUAUGUUCACUGUAGCAAAGUAAAACAAUAUAGAAGAAAAGCAAAAAGAAAAUGUUUCACCACAUUUGGGGUUACAAUAUUUUGUAUGCUUAUUUUCCUUUAAGGAUAAAUCUUUCUGUGUUAUACACAUUUUCCCCCAGUGCAACAUUUUUAAUGGCUGCAUAGAACCCCAAUGUUUUGAUAUGGUAAAAUUUCAUUGAACAGUACCCAAAUUUUGACUUUGUUUAUUUUUAGUUCUUUAUCAUCAUAACAAAGCUGCAGUCAUUAUUCUUGUCCGCACUCUGCAAUUUUAGUGUCUCCUUAAGAUAAAUCCCUUGAAAGCAGGAUUGUAGAGUCAGAGGCUGAGACUUCGGUCACACGUGAGAAGCUGUAGGGUCCACUGUGAUUUCUGCUUCAUCUUUUUAACCAGGAUGUGGCUGCUAACUUUGCAGUCCCUCUAAAGGCUUGGGCACCUUGGCCGUAGAGGAAGGUGGGGCUGGCAGGCCAACCUCAGGCAGGGGAUUUACAUGACUUGAUGACUUGGAGCUGUUCUGCUAAACUGAUAGGCAAAUUGUUUCUCCAAGAACAUCUUUUUCCCUGGCUGUCUUGGAAUCAUCAUCCUUAGUAAUGCUUCAGCCAGCAAUGGAGUCGAAAUAUGUAAAUCUGUGUCUCUGUACUGUAGUGGGGCUGGCUCCCUGGUGAAUGACAAACAGUUCCCCAGAAGUGUGUGUGUGUGUCUUUGCAUCUUUGCAUUGGGAUUCCCCCUAUGCCCCCCCCCCCACUUCAAGAACUUAGAAAAGCUUACAAAGGAAACCCCCCACACCCCCGCAUGGCAUUUUCCUGGGAAAUUCAGCCCAAAGGACUUCAUGAUCCCUGGGCACGACUAAAAACAUGUAUUAACAUGCCUACAUGAUGUUUCCAAAGCAGUAGUAGCUGGGCACUGCCCUCGUCCCAUCCCCUCAUGGACUGGUUCAACCCAAGGAUGUAUUUGUCAGCCUUCUUCUUUCACGUGUCAGAUUUCUGUGACCCAGAAAAGAUGUGUUCCCUGUGGUUGGAUGACUUGCCAGCUGACAAAGAAUUCAGUGGAGCCAGUGGGGGAAGUCCAUUCCUCCCAUUUCCAAAGUGUCCCCCGGCUCAGCAGGAGACAUCAGGAGUUCCUUUAGAUCCAACGGCGAGGUCACCUCGGGGUUGUUUGAUAGUGUGGUCACCACAAAGGCAACUGGCUUUGCUGGCCCCAGACUCUGAAUCCUGACAAGUGUUUAGAUGCUGCUUUGAUACUGACACCACUGCAGCUCCACUAGGGAAGGUGAGGGAAGAUUUUUGUCCUUUGUUAUACUCUGAACAUCAAAUCGGGGCUUUUCUUUCAUUUGGAAAAUAGAAAGGAAACAGGACAUCUGUGUAGCAGGAUGUCAGGAGCAGGUGUGCCGGGCCCCCCACUCCCUGUCCCCUGAGUCCUGCAUUUGCUUUGAGGAAGGAUGCCCUGUAGCCUGGGCCCACAGGGGGGAAGGGGUAUCAGAGGCAAUUGAUUUUUCAUUAUAAUUGUCAAGAACCUUUCGUUUUUAAGAAUGUUUGUCUCACAAAGAGCCUUUUUCGUUGCUGUGGAAUGGUUGUUGAUUUCUAAAAGUCUGGCCUUCAGACCCCUUGCAAGUCAAACCAAGGGUUGGUUGCUUGGCUGCAGCACUGGCCCAUUCCUGGAAUCACUUUCCCUCUCUGGAGAAUUAGGUUGGGAGAGGAGACUGGAUUUGAUGCUUCAUAAGGUGAUGCUUCUCAAGGUUUAACAUGCACGCAGGUUACACAAGAAUCUUGUGAAAAUGCUGGCUCUGGCUCAGUAGGUCUAGAGUAGGUCUGAAGAUACUUGGGGCCCCAGAAUCUGCGUUUCUGACAAGCUCCCAGGGGAUGCUCUGCUGCUGGUCCCUGUGGGAGGAGCAAGGUUUCAAGCUUCUUCCUACCCUGACACGAUUCCGGGAAGUAAUGAUAAGGCCCACCCGUUGUCGAGAGGAGCUGUCUUCUAUUUGUAGCUUGUCUAGGGAUGUGUCUGUUCUUUGCUUUUGGGUUUUGAGAAUUGGUGUCUUCAUUUCCGCAGGCAGAGUGGGGAGGGCAUUGUCAACCCUCCUAUCCCGUGGUGGUCCUGGAAGUGGAAGAAUAGGGCAAAAGCGAAACAAACGUAUGCUGAGUGCCUUCUGUGUGUCACACAGCUGCUGUGACAGGCUCGGCAAGGCAGGCCAUCUGCACGGGGACAGGCACCAAGGUUCAGCAUUUCAUCAUACACCCCCAUACCCCCAUCAUACACCUCUGGCCCCCAUACCUAAUUUUUUCUUAGAAUGGCACCUUUCUAGAAAGCCAUGUAAUUAAAAACUGAGUGCUUAGCAAAGUGUUUCCCUUUAGAAGUGCUUUUACUGGGCCUACUUUAAGAGUAGAUCAAGACAUUUAGAAAUCUGCAUCAUUAUCAUGCAAGCAAUUAAAGUGCUUAAGAAGCUUCAAAGCAAUUUGUUCAAGUUGGUUAAAUAUCCGCCCUCCCCAGUCUUGUUUGUGUUAUUAAUUUACUCAUCAAACUGUGACAUCAAAACCAUCGAAAAGGUACAUUUCAGUAUCUUCCGAUUGGCGAGACCUUUCAAACCCAAGGAUUUGGCAUCGAUGAGAUCUCCUGUGAAAGGAUCUGGUUCAGGGUGAGUCAGAGGAACCAGCCUUUUACCCAACAAGCCCAGCCCUGCUUUGGCCUUUGGAUGAGAAGUGGUCCUUUGCAUGUUUUAGGAAGGUGUCGUUGGUCUGAGAACCAGUCAGCAUUACAGUUCUUUGCAAACAUUGGUUAGCUGAUUCUCACAUCACCCCCACGUGGCAGGUAAAUAGCAUUAACUCUGCAUCUGAGAGAACAAAUAAAUGGACAUGUACAGAUGAGGGUAGGAGAGGCAAACUCCUGCUUUGCAAGAAGAGUGGUAGAGAUACGUGGAAUUGGAGGAUUCCAUGAGUUUGUCCCUUAAAUAUUUAUUGGGUGAAGCCCUGGCUCCUCUAGAGCUGUGCUGUGCAAUUUGGCGGUCACUAGUCACAAUUUAAGGUCAAUUUAAUUAAAAUUACAUCAAAUGAAUACUUCAUUUCCUCAGUUGCACUAGCCAGAUCUCAAAUGUUCAAGGAAGGUAGUGGCUCCCACAGCGGACAGCACAGACGUAGAUGCAGCCUUUCCAUCAUUGCAAAAAGCUCUCUUGGACAGUGCUGGUCCAGAGCCUGGGCUAAUCAAAGAUGAAUGCAAGGGUCCUUGCCCUCCUGGAAUCUCCUGUGAAAUUUCCUAAAAGGAUACCUGACCUUUGACAGCCAUUGCAUAAUACGAAGCUGUGGCUGAGGACUUUGGGGUGGUGGUCGGGGCCCCAGCCCCUGGAGCUUAAAGUCUUCAGCUGGAAACCCUGUUCAGCCACCUACUAUUUCUAUGACUAGAGGUGGGUUUGGAAGUGAUCUGUGCCUCUUUUCAGAGUCAUGCUACAAGUUUUCACUUCUCUUAUUAGACAAGAUUAUUUCUUGUCUCGUGUUGGAUUCUAAUGUCUAAUCCAAGGUUGGAUUCUGGAGGAAGUGCUAGGAAACCACUGCUCUCCUUUGCUGCUGAUGGAAAUGCAAAGUAACACACCCUUUUAGGCAAGCAAUUUGGAAAUAAGUGUUGGUAGUCCUAGAAACACUUAUUCCCUUUAUUCCAGUAUUCCAGUUCUAGGAAUCUAGCCAAAGAAAAUCAUCAGAGAUGGGGAGAAAAGAUGUUAGAAUAAAAAUGUUCAUUGCAGUGUUUUUAUAAUAG